CUACGGGUGGCUGCAGUUAGGAAUAAUCUACAAUGUACGCAAGUAUGAUAGUUUGAGCCAGAGUGCUUUCCUAUUUUGGAAAGCUUUUGUGGAAUGUAAAAAGUUCCACGAAUAAGGACUGGGUAAGACGAGUGCCAGCCGCCGCGGUAAUACUCGCGGUCCAAGUCGCAGCCACAUUUAUUGGGUCUAAAACAUCCGUAGCUUGCUUUGUAAGUCUCUUGUGAAAUCCAAUGUCUUAAACAUUGGGCGUGCAAGAGGUACUGCAUUGCUAGAGACCGGAAGACGUAAGAAGUACGUUCGAAGUAGCGGUAAAAUGUGUUAAUCUCGAGCGGACUCACAAUAGCGAAGGCAUCUUACGAGGACGGUUCUGACAGUAAGGGAUGAAGGCUAGGGGCGCAAAACGGAUUAGAUACCCCAGUAGUC
rnacentral:rRNA from 1 species